UACGCAGGCUGGCAAUUAAGUCAGUGGUGAAAUCCCACCGCUCAACGGUGGAACUGCCAUUGAUACUGGUUGUCUUGAGUACAGUAGAGGUAUGCGGAAUGUGACAUGUAGCGGUGAAAUGCAUAGAUAUGUCAUAGAACACCGAUUGCGAAGGCAGCAUACUGGACUGUAACUGACGCUGAGGUACGAAAGCGUGGGGAGCGAACAGGAUUAAUACCCUGGUAGUCC
rnacentral:rRNA from 1 species